AACGAACGCUGGCGGCAGGCCUAACACAUGCAAGUCGAGCGAGGUAGCAAUACCUAGCGGCGGACGGGUGAGUAACGCGUGGGAACGUGCCCCUUGGUACGGAAUAGCCCCGGGAAACUGGGAGUAAUACCGUAUGAGCUCUACGGAGGAAAGAUUUAUCGCCAAGGGAUCGGCCCGCGUUGGAUUAGGUAGUUGGUGGGGUAAUGGCCUACCAAGACGACGAUCCAUAGCUGGUUUGAGAGGAUGAUCAGCCACACUGGGACUGGGACACGGGCCAGACUCCAACGGGAGGCAGCAGUGGGGAAGCUUAGGCAAUGGGCGCAAGCUUGAUCUAGCCAUGCCGCGUGAGCGAUGAAGGCCUUAGGGUUGGAAAGCUCUUUCAGCGGGGAAGAUAAUGACUGUACCAGCAGAAGAAGCCCCGGCUAACUCCGUGCCAGCAGCCGCGGUAA
rnacentral:rRNA from 1 species